rnacentral:ncRNA from 1 species
CCUAUGGAGUAUUAUACCAAACUUGAGUAGGUUUUUACGAAAAAGGAUACAGUGAAGUAGGAA